rnacentral:misc_RNA from 1 species
GAUGAAGAACGCAGCGAAAUGCGAUAAGUAAUGUGAAUUGCAGAAUUCAGUGAAUCAUCGAAUCUUUGAACGCACAUUGCGCCCGCCAGUAUUCUGGCGGGCAUGCCUGUUCGAGCGUCAUUUCAACCAUCAAGCCCCAGGCUUGUGUUGGGGACCUGCGGCUGCCGCAGGCCCUGAAAACCAGUGGCGGGCUCGCUGUCACACCGGGCGUAGUAGAUUUUAUCUCGCUCAGGGCGUGCUGCGGGUCCCGGCCGUUAAAAGCCUUUUUUUACCCAAGGUUGACCUCGGAUCAGGUAGGAAGACCCGCUGAACUUAAGCAUAUCAAUAAGCGGAUGA